AUCUCAAACCCAGUUCCUUUACCUUCUCUUUCUCCAAUGGCAAACCAACCCAAAAGCUCCCUGAUCACCACCGAUUCCAGUUGAAGCAAAUCCCUGACCAUAAACAGGCCUGUAGGCGCAGCUUACCAGAGAAAAAGAAGCAGCGACUACUUCCAUUUUUCCCUCCUGCCUUCAUUUGUUCGACUAUCAAACAACUUCCACACAUCUUUUCCUUGCUCCUCCAUCGAUCUCAGGUAAAUUCCUUACCUUCUCUGAUCAAAAUUCGUCCAGCAACCACCGUGAACAUUAGGCACCUGCCAUGGUCGCCGGUGGCCUGAACAGUUCCAACCGGACGAUCCCGGUGGCGGGUUUGGUCCUAGUCAAGUGUAUAUAGUUCCUGAUUCCAUUAUUUUUCUGCCAUGUGAUGUCUAGGUCGACUCCAAGAUUCCCGUUCCAAAUCCC
rnacentral:lncRNA from 1 species